GGGCCGGUAGUGUAGUGGUCUAGCACGUUGCAUCCGGAUGUGAAGACGAGUGGUUCGAUUCCCAUCCCGGUCCA
rnacentral:tRNA from 1 species